rnacentral:rRNA from 1 species
UACGGAGGGUGCAAGCGUUAUCCGGAUUUACUGGGUUUAAAGGGUACGUAGGCGGAUUUGUAAGUCAGUGGUGAAAGCCUGCAGCUCAACUGUGGAAUUGCCAUUGAAACUGUGAAUCUAGAGUAUAGAGGAAGUAAGCGGAAUAAGUCAUGUAGCGGUGAAAUGCAUAGAUAUGACUUAGAACACCGAAAGCGAAGGCAGCUUACUGUUCUAUAACUGACGCUGAGGUACGAAAGCGUGGGUAGCGAACAGG